CUUCCGCUUCCGCUUCCUCCUCCUCCUCCUCCUCCUCCGCCUGCUGCUGCCGAGCGCGCGUGCCCACGACACCCCCUUCCCCCUCCCCCUCCCCCCCGCCGCUCCUGCCGCGUUUCCCGGCUCUGGCCCGCGGGGGCGACGGACGCAGUCCCGGCCCCAGCGCCAGCGGGGCGUGGGCGUGGGCGCGGGCACGUGACUCCCGCCUCCGCUCCGCUCCGCUCCUGCCGCCCAGCCUGCGCUGCGCUGCGCACGCGCCAACCCCUUGCUCCUCCCCCGCCGUUGUGACGCGCGAGCUCCCCAUUGGCCGCGGCGGCUCGGACCGCUGCGUGCAACCGCGACGGCGCCCUUGCGUGGCGGGAGCGGCGGUGCGGGACGCUGCCCGGCUCCGUGUCGCUGCGGGCUGUGCUGGGCGCUGCCCCCCCCCCGGGCAGUGCGGGCGAGCGGCGGCCGGCAGGGGUUGUGCGGCGUGUUUGAGCCGUGCCGUGCGGGGCGCGCAGAGACGGGCUCCUCACUCGCGCGUGCCUUGCCUCAUAGACUGCGGGAUGAGAGAGAUCCUGUGUGUCAGACUACAGCAGGGCUUCAGUAGUCUUCCCCCGUGGCUACUGCGGAGUACAAAGCUGUUACAGCACAAUGGCACCGAGAAACGGGCAAUAAGUCACAAAGAGACCUCUCUGACGUUGCAAAGACGUGCAUGCCCGAACAGUUCAGCGGGGGCCACUAUCCCUCGUUUCGUUUUCACCACUGCGAGGAGCAAAAGCACUGCUGUCUCUGGGAUCCCGCUUGGUGGUUUAUUCUGUCUAUUCUGCAUGAAAGGAGCCGUCACUGAAUGUUUUCAGCUAAAAUCUCUUGUACUCUUACAAGUGUAAUAAAAUAUGGACAUACCUGGC